GACGAACGCUGGCGGCGUGCCUAACACAUGCAAGUCGAACGGAAACUUGAAUUUCGGUUUAAGUUUUAGUGGCGAACGGGUGAGUAACGCGUGAGAAACCUACCUCUCAGUGGGGGACAACAGUUGGAAACGACUGCUAAUACCGCAUAACAUUAUCGAAGGGCAUCCUUUGAUAAUCAAAGCUUUAUGUGCUGAGAGAUGGUCUCGCGUCUGAUUAGCUAGAUGGCGGGGUAACGGCCCACCAUGGCGACGAUGUCUAGGGGUUCUGAGAGGAAGGUCCCCCACACUGGAACUGAGACACGGUCCAGACUCCUACGGGAGGCAGCAGUGAGGAAUAUUGGUCAAUGGUCGAGAGACUGAACCAGCCAAGUAGCGUGCAGGAUGACGGCCCUCUGGGUUGUAAACUGCUUUUAGUUGGGAAUAAAGGGAGUACGUGUACUCUGUAUUGUAUGUACCAUCAGAAAAAGGACCGGCUAAUUCCGUG
rnacentral:rRNA from 1 species